rnacentral:rRNA from 1 species
GCACGUUAUGGUGGGCGACUCUAAGGAGACUGCCGGUGACAACCGGAGGAAGGUGGGGAUGACGUCAAGUCAUCAUGGCCCUUACGGCCUGGGCUACACACGUGCUACAAUGGUCGGUACAAAGGGUUGCCAAGCCGCGAGGUGGAGCUAAUCCCAUAAAACCGAUCGUAGUCCGGAUCGCAGUCUGCAACUCGACUGCGUGAAGUCGGAAUCGCUAGUAAUCGUGAAUCAGAAUGUCACGGUGAAUACGUUCCCGGGCCUU